UCCAUUCUUUCAUAUCUUUGUACCAACAAUGGAGAAACAUCCGCUCCUUCACAAGUAUUCAGAAGUCUCUUUUCUCCAAACUUGAAUUCAAGGCCUGCUCAUUAACUUCAUCUUCUCAGCUGGGUAUGCAUUUUUAGCAAAGAAGGCAAGUGUUAGAGGAACAGUAAAAUUGUCUCUAUCUGACCUAUGGUCACUGGUUCAAGUCAUGGGAUCAACCAUUUAUUCUUGUGUCAAGGUUCAACUUAAAAGCUAAGUUGGACAAACAUCUCAAUCUUGAAUAUUCAUCUUCUGCAAUCAUUUUGUGCCUCACUUCGGAGUGUACCUUAAUUUUUCUCCAUCGUUGCACCAGACUGUUCUAUUAUUUAUGGUGAGUUUCGUUUGAAUUUUUUUUCCUCUUUUGUGUUUGUAUUGUAUCGACUAAUAUGCACAUGUAGAGCUAUUUCUUCUUAUCUCUCGCUCUGAUCUUUUGUAGUUCAUGUGAAUUUAGUUCAUUGUGGGAUGAAUUGAACUUCAAUCUCUAAAAAUAAGUGUUGUCUAUCUUCUUAUAUUUCAAUACUCUGUUUUAGUUAUUGUUUUCCUUUUUGGUAUGUGUAUGUGUUCGUUAAUAAAAGUUUUCGUUUGUUCUUUCUUAAAAAUAUAAGAAGCUAUUUUCAUAUGUCGCAAAAUUAAAUAAC